CAAGGCCUUUGUUGCUUCUCUGAGAAAUGAUACAGAAUAUUGUCAGGUGUACGACCUGGCUGUUGAGAAAGUGGGACCACCAGUAACCAGGGUGUUUAAGAUGUGGAAAGGUGAAGUGCCCUCAGAAAAGAUAAAUCUUCUAAAGGAGGUUUAUGGUGAUAUGUUUGAAAUACCAAUGCUAUUCCAUCUUCAAUCUAGUAUUCCAGAAGUUGUAACACUGUUAAAGAUAAAUGGGGUUUUGUCAAUUACAAGUGCUUCAGUUGAGAGGUCAUUUUCUUGUUUGAAGAGGGUAAAAAAUUAUAGAAAUACUAUGAGCCAAGGACGUUUUAGUUCUCUUUGCAGGAUUUCCAUUCACAAAGACAUACUGUUAGAGAAAGAAGACGCCAACACAUUGCAUGAUGAGGUAGUAAAGAAGUUCAUUGAAAAACCACGAAGACUUGCUUUCUUAUACAAAUAGGUAUUCAUAUAUGGCUGAUAGCAAGCUGAUGAUGUCUUUCGUCCAUGGCAUGUAAGAAUUUUUCCGGGAACUUUUUAAUGCAAGCAAUGAUGAUUGUCAUUUCAGCACGACAAUGAACGGCAUCACA